rnacentral:rRNA from 1 species
UACGUAGGGUGCAAGCGUUAAUCGGAAUUACUGGGCGUAAAGCGUGCGCAGGCGGUUGUGUAAGACAGAUGUGAAAUCCCCGGGCUCAACCUGGGAACUGCAUUUGUGACUGCACGGCUGGAGUGCGGCAGAGGGGGAUGGAAUUCCGCGUGUAGCAGUGAAAUGCGUAGAUAUGCGGAGGAACACCGAUGGCGAAGGCGACACCCUGGACCAGCACUGACACUGAGGCACGAAAGCGUGGGGAGCAAACAGG